UUCUUAAAAAAAAAGAAAAAAGACUGAUUUCCAUUAUCAAGAUGAAUCAAAUAACAUAUAUCACUCUCAGUACAACUCCUAAGUCAAAAAUAGGCUAGCCAUUUGGACUCCUGGGAAGACCUGCAUUCCUAUGUUUUGUUGUGGGAUGAAUAGGUCCUUCUAAAUCCCAUUUCAGACUCGAAAAGUGAUAAUUUGUUUUAAUUCAACUUGAUUUUAACUAUGAACAAAUAAAAAAUUACAUCAAUACAAUGUCAGAGGAGAACGUUAUUUCCCUAAAAAGACUUUCCAUAAAGCUCUGCAGAAAAAGGAAAGAAAAAAGAAGCAUACAUGGCAAUAAGAAUCAGGGCUUGUAAAGCUCUGGAAAAUGCACAAAUGGUGCUUCACAAGGUUGUACCGAAUCAGAUAAAUGGAGAUUGAGCAACCACAUUAAACACUGAAAAUAUUGAAAGAAUCAAUAACUGUGUGCAAUUUAUCUUUCAUUUUGUCCCACCUCCUCUCAUUGGCCCCUGUGGUCAGUGUGUAGAAUUUACCUGCCACAGAAAAGCCAGAUCCAAAUGAAAAGCGGAAUGGAAAUGAUAACUUGCUUUCCCAGGGUCAGGGCAUAUUUGAUAUCAAAGGACACAUCUAACUGCAAAUGUUGGUACUAUAGAAUCAGUAUUUUCACAGGGAACAGAUGCACAGUUUUUUGUAAAUAAUUUUAGAUACAAAUGAAAAGAUUGUAAUUUUGGUCUCCCUCGUGUCAUUAAUCUAAGUGACAAAAAUGACUGGUAAUAACACAUGUACUGCUUCUGAUUGCAGAUAUUCAAUGACUGAAGAAAGUUGUCAUCGUUGAUCAUCUCAGGCCUUGAAAUCUCAAUUCAUCACCAAAAGUUCCAUUAGCAAUUCUGGGGCCACUAAGGCGUAUGUGAGAGUGCUUCGUGAAGGGGAGAAAUAAAAGGAAAGAAAAAAAAAACUAAAAAAAUAGAGGAGAUGAAGGGA
rnacentral:misc_RNA from 1 species